UCAUUAGUAUUCAAAUAUACAGAAAUCGAUCAUACGAUCGAUAAAAACAAACUUGACAAUACAUCUCGUCGGGUGUGCGGUUGAUUUUGCAGAGAAAGCUUAUCGUGGGAAAAGGUGUGCAAUCAUGGUUUUUGGCGAAGCUCUAGUGUUGGCGUUCCUGGCCACAACAGUAGCCUUAUUUGGUGUGUCUGUGCACAGUAUUUUCACAUCCAAGCACAACUCGCUGAUGGAAUUGAGAAAACUGGAGGAUCAGAUGAUGGAAAAGUACGGCUGGAAUCCUUCAAUGCCUUACAAUGCAUACAACUAAAGAUAAAAAGCGUAGAAGAAAAGCUUAAACUGGAUUUUUCAACCAGAUAAUUGCUGGCCUUCAGUAAGUGUGAAGAAACUGUAGAUCGAGGUUGCAUUGGAAUUCCAAGUUCCACAAGAAUUUUUUUUGUAUAUUGGCGUGUUAAUUACAACACCGUAGAAGGACUGAUCUGCAAAGAUGACCUAAGAAGUUUUGCCCUGGUUUUAUUAUAAGCUUAGCACAUUUACGAGAUAUUAACAAGAAGAAACCUACAUGCUUUCCUUUAGAGUAACGUGAACCAGCUUGAUACAGUUGUGUGAUACCUGAUUAACAAUUUAGCUUUUAAAGGUAUUUAUCGGUUCAAUGUUAUUUGUAGGUUAAAAAUUUUUCAUCGAAACAAUCUUACUGUCAAGAUUGUGGUCAAUCGAGUGUAGGAUCCGGAAAUGAGUAAAGAUCUAGUAAGAUCUAAAUUAAACCUUUUUUUAUCUUUAAUGAGAACCUUCAGUAGUCCUUCAGCUGACGGCCAGCUUUCUUCUGAGAAACGCGACAAACGGGUUUCUGAAAAUAUACUCGUACAACAGUUUACAACUCUUCUGAAAAUAAUUAUGCUGAGGACCGGUUGUUAUUUAUUGCCCGGGAGGGGAGGGGUAGGAAUUUUGGUCUUGUUACGAUUAAAUUUACCUGAUCCCCCAUAAAGCUCUGUAGUAGUCUUAUGAUUCUCGCUUAUUGGCAGUUAAUUAGCAGUUAAUUUUAUAUAGCCUCCUUUUAGUCUACUUUAGGGACGAUUGAUGCCCCCUCUUUUUUCCAAAACCCCCUCCCCCCACCCCCACCACCUCAGGCAAUAAAUGGCAGACUAUGUUCUAACUUGCAGAUUUCUGUUGGGUAAGCCUCUCACUUAGUAAAGACGCUAGUUUGCACGCUGAGUUUUUUCACUUGUAAAUGUUAAAUCGCUAUUAUUCCCCCACCGUGAUUUAAAGAAGCAGACAGCGUAACGGGAAAAUUUAACAUGUUUUGGUCACGUACUGUCGUGUAGUUUGCGAGGUAAUUAAUAUUCAGCAUGUAAACAGUUUGCGCUCUGAUGGUUUCCUGAGAGUUUAGAUAAAUUAAAUUGGAGGGCUCUCUCCAGACGAAAACGAAA